rnacentral:rRNA from 1 species
GACGAACGCUGGCGGCGUGCUUAACACAUGCAAGUCGAACGGAAAGGCCCUGCUUGCAGGGUACUCGAGUGGCGAACGGGUGAGUAACACGUGGGUGAUCUGCCCUGCACUUCGGGAUAAGCUUGGGAAACUGGGUCUAAUACCGGAUAGGAGCCAUCUUUAGUGUGGUGGUUGGAAAGUUUUUUCGGUGUAGGACGAGCUCGCGGCCUAUCAGCUUGUUGGUGGGGUAAUGGCCUACCAAGGCGGCGACGGGUAGCCGGCCUGAGAGGGUGUACGGCCACAUUGGGACUGAGAUACGGCCCAGACUCCUGCGGGAGGCAGCAGUGGGGAAUAUUGCACAAUGGGCGCAAGCCUGAUGCAGCGACGCCGCGUGGGGGAUGAAGGCCUUCGGGUUGUAAACUCCUUUCGCUAGGGACGAAGCUUUUUUGUGACGGUACCUAGAUAAGAAGCACCGGCUAACUACGUG